rnacentral:rRNA from 1 species
AAAGUUCGUAGGUGAACUGCGGAGGAUC